GCCUGCUUAGCUCAGUGGUAGAGCGCUAGUCUUGUAAACUAGCGGUCGUGAGUUCGAUACUCACAGCGGGCA
rfam:Daphnia magna strain Xinb3 scaffold02385, whole genome shotgun sequence.